CCUACGGGUGGCUGCAGUAAGGAAUAUUGGUCAAUGGACGAAAGUCUGAACCAGCCAUGCCGCGUGGAGGAUGAAGGUCCUCUGGAUUGUAAACUUCUUUUAUCUGGGACGAAAAAGGGUUUUCUAACUCGUCUGACGGUACCAGAUGAAUAAGCACCGGCUAACUCCGUGCCAGCAGCCGCGGUAAUACGGAGGGUGCAAGCGUUAUCCGGAUUCACUGGGUUUAAAGGGUGCGUAGGCGGGCAUUUAAGUCAGUGGUGAAAUACCUGAGCUUAACUUGGGAACUGCCAUUGAUACUAUUUGUCUUGAAUACCGUGGAGGUGAGCGGAAUAUGUCAUGUAGCGGUGAAAUGCUUAGAUAUGACAUAGAACACCAAUUGCGAAGGCAGCUCGCUACACGAAUAUUGACUCUGAGGCACGAAAGCGUGGGAUCAAACAGGA
rnacentral:rRNA from 1 species